AGUUGAUCAUGGCUCAGAACGAACGCUGGCGGCGACGCUUAAGCAUGCAAGUCGAACGGCAAGAGGUAGCAAUACCUCCUAGAGUGGCGGACUGGUGAGUAACACGUGGGUGACAUACCCUUCAGAUGGGGAUAGCUAUUAGAAAUAGUAGAUAAUACCGAAUACGAGCACAGGGGUUAGAGAUCUGUGAGGAAAGGAGCUAAGGCUCCGCUGAAGGAAUGGCCUGCGGCCCAUUAGCUAGUUGGUGAGGUAAGAGCCCACCAAGGCGAUGAUGGGUAUCCGGCCUUAGAGGGUGAACGGACACAUUGGGACUGAGAUACGGCCCAGACUCCUACGGGAGGCAGCAGCUAAGAAUAUUCCGCAAUGGACGAAAGUCUGACGGAGCGACGCCGCGUGGAUGAAGAAGGCCGGAAGGUUGUAAAAUCCUUUUGAAACUGAAGAAUAAGCGUUGUAGGGAAUGACAGCGUGGUGACAGUAGGUUUUGAAUAAGCAACGGCUAAUUACGUGCCAGCAGCCGC
rnacentral:rRNA from 1 species